rnacentral:rRNA from 1 species
UACGUAGGGCGCAAGCGUUAUCCGGAAUGAUUGGGCGUAAAGCGUCCGCAGGUGGCAAUGUAAGUCUGCUGUCAAAGCGUCUGGCUCAACCAGAUAAAGGCAGUGGAAACUACAUAGCUAGAGUAAGGUAGGGGUAGAGGGAAUUCCUGGUGUAGCGGUGAAAUGCGUAGAGAUCAGGAAGAACACCGGUGGCGAAAGCGCUCUGCUGGACCUUAACUGACACUGAGGGACGAAAGCUAGGGGAGCGAAUGGG